CUGGUUCCUCCGUCCUCACGGCUUCAGGGCUACGAAUCACACCGGAGUCCAUCGCACGGAGAAUUUAUCAGGUUACCUUUCUCCUAUCUCCUCCGCAUAGAAUAGAGAUUAGGUGUGCAGGGCAUCGAUCUGCCCUUUUUCCUUCCAUCCUUGAACUACCGUGCAGCCACCGUGCAGCCUCCGGUAUGGCCGCCAGGAUCAAACAGCCCAUCUCACCGUCCUACCAGGACAACCACCGGGAUGCAAUAGCCACCCUCGCCGGCUGCCGGCAAGGCGGCGGUGGGCCGGUGGCGGCGGAGCUCACACCGAGAUGGGAGACGUUCGAUCUGCUGUCUUCGAUGCCGUCCACGUCCUCGGCCAUGGCGACCACAACCAAUCAACCAUGGCGGCCGCGAACACCACCAAGACUGCCAACACCUCACCUAUCCCCGUGACAGCGGCACGGUACACACCUGAUUUCUCCCUUGCUUGUCGAUUUGAGUUUACCUGUCUAAAUGGGCGAGUUGUGCCGCCUGUGCGCUCCCGGCCAUCUACGGUUGACGAUCCCCUGUGGCCCCGCCGGCCGUCGCGCCGAUCAGUCCGCCGCCGGCCACCAGCUCGCUCCGCUGGCCACCCACGUGGAUGCGUCUCGCCUCGCUCGGAAUGGCUGCACUCUCCAAGUCUAGGCGAAAGUACACAACAGUGACGCAUGCGCGCCGCGCGCCAGCACCAGACCACAGAUCGGGUCCCGUCAGCGUGGCGGCGGUCGUCCAUCGCAGGCUUCGUGCUGUCGAAGAAAAGUGGCGCGGCCUAAAUCACUAGCUUCUGUAUGUUGAGAUCUAUGUCGACGUGCAGGUGCAGAAAUCCCAAGCGACUGGGACUGAGGAGUACUUUUAGGAAGCCAAUAUUUAUUUUUGCAAAAGCUAUAUUAGACACUUUCAGAUUAUUGAAGCAGUAAUCAUGUGUUUUUCAUAUGAUCAGGGUGCUGCAGUAGUUGCUGGCCUAGCGCUACAGCAAGGAGACUUGCACAAGCUGGACGAUGCGGAGAAAAUCAGGAAGGAGAUCAAGGAGCAAGAGGAGUUAGAUCAGGAAGGGUGUGACCACCGUCCACAAAAGGUUUGGAUGUUUCCCUGAUUGUUGAUUAUGGCAAUGUAGUAUACACAUAUGAAGUCGAUUGUUGAGUUACCAGUUUGUUGGUGUUCUUGAAAAAAUAUGGCUAUGGUUAAUUGGUCAUUAUUCACAAACAAAAAUAUUUUUAGAGUUUAACGGACUGUCUCAAGUUUGCACCAAGACUUCCUGGAUUUGGGUCACAUUUAUUAAGUAUAUUUAAUUGUUGGUGCGAUCCUUUUGUUGCUUAAGCUUUAUUCUUAAGUACUGCAAAAUCAAGGGGCGCUUGGUUUGGUAAGAUGAGGUUCACUGCAUUAUGUUCUUCAGUCUUGUGAAGGUAUGACUCGGCAAGUGGGCAAUGGCGAUCAGUGCUCCAAGGGAUAUAUGAUGACAACUAGGAAAUUACUCUAAUGGAAGGUAAUUUUCAGAUACCAUGUGUUGUCUUUGAAGUAUCCAAUAUUGUAGUAUAUACUCAAACAAAUGCUCUUGUUUAUAAAAAUAUUGUGGUCAUUUGUUGUCCACUUUUGUGGUGUCUAUGUCAUACGUAUGCACCAGAACAAGAUGCUACAAAGUGGGGAAUGGUAUGACUCAAAAAAAUUGGUGUCUUAACUUUCUGAACCUUUAUUGAAUGUCAUCCACAUGUCACAAUUAAGUGAGCCUCCCCUGUCAAUGAAUUUAUUACAAUAUAGGAAAAGCUUCAAGCUUAUCACAAACGUCUAUGAAAGUUUUGACCUACUCAUUUGCUAGCUGCUAAUAGGUCUUGAUAGUUUAGUUUUCUGGCAGGAGGUUGUUCCUCCAGUUUAGUUAAUCUAUGGUCCAAGAUUUAAUCUGAAGUAGUGUGCUUAAUUUUUGACAUGUUCAAUGGAGGCGCUGGGUGAAGUUCAUCUUAUCUCAAUUGGGGAAAGCACAAAAUACAACUCAUUCACUUUGCAGGACAUGAGCAUCUCUUAGUUUGCAACACAACAACUUUGUUCAAGAGAUGCCGUUGAUUAUAGUUGUUGUCUUUCUAGGCUUAUGCCAUAUGCAUAUGUUAAGAGUUCUAGAUGUAAUUCUAUAUGUUCUGGUAAACAGGGAUUCUUGCUUAAUAGAUCAUUUUAUCAUGAUGUUCA